AAUUUAAGGACCUUAGUUUUGAUCAUAUAAAUUUACAUUAAAGUAAAUGAACUAACUGUCAGUGAACCUGACCAAAAGUAAAUUUGCAGUUUCAGAUCCAAAUUCUCCUUUGGUUGAGCUGGUUAGGCACAAUUUGGUCGUGGAUAGUUAGAACUUGAGAGUUGAGACUAUUGCUACCUGUUUGUUAAGCUGAUUAUUAGGUUACAGUUGUUAGUAGUUGGUGAUAUAAAUUUUAUGUGAUUAGAUUAAACAAUCCUCUGAAUGUAUUAAGUGUUACGUAGUAAGUAAUCCAAUAUCUGUUAAGCGUAAAGUUAGAAAGACACAAUGUAGAAAAUACCUAUUUUCCUGGUUUAGAGGCUGUCUUCAAGCAUACUUACCAGCAUUACAUGAUAUAAUUGGAAAAUAAAUCUCACUUGACUCACUUUUAAGGUGGAUCAAACAUUUGAUUGUGGUUAUAAGGAAUCUUACAUUUCUAAAGUUUUAGUUAUUGGAGGUUCCUUUAUUUCAUCUUGAAGUUUAUUUUGUGUAAAUUUGCAAAUGUGCUUCAAUGAUGAUCUAAGAUGUUUGCUUUAGAUUGUCGGACUUGUUCACCCAAUAAAUUCCUCAAGUUUAUAUUCAACUUGUUAGUCUGAUAGCUUAGCUUUACGUGCCUGAGCUCGUACCAUUGAAAACAUGUAGGUGUUAUUCAUAAAUUGGUAUGACUUGCUUGAAGUCAUGUUUGCUUUAUAGGUGGUCAUUGGAAUGAGAAAGUGGUUUGCUAUUGUUAUAUGUAUAUGUGCUCAUGCACAACCAUACACAUGCUUGUUUGGACUAACUAGCGUGAUACUUCUAUGGUGCUAAAUAAUGGUACUUGAGUUUCUCUUCUUUGGCAAUGGUUUUAAAUCAUUUUUUCUUCAUGCAGGUUCCAGAAU
rnacentral:misc_RNA from 1 species